UCCCUGGUGGCUCAGAGGUUAAAGCGUCUGCCUACAAUGCAGGAGACCUGGGUUCAGUUCCUGGGUUGGGAA
rnacentral:tRNA from 1 species